rnacentral:rRNA from 1 species
GACGUAGGGUACGAGCGUUAAUCGGAAUUACUGGGCGUAAAGCGUGCGCAGGCGGUUGUGCAAGACAGAUGUGAAAUCCCCGGGCUCAACCUGGGAACUGCAUUUGUGACUGCACGGCUGGAGUGCGGCAGAGGGGGAUGGAAUUCCGCGUGUAGCAGUGAAAUGCGUAGAUAUGCGGAGGAACACCGAUGGCGAAGGCAAUCCCCUGGGCCUGCACUGACGCUCAUGCACGAAAGCGUGGGGAGCAAACAGG